rnacentral:piRNA from 1 species
UUCAGUGAUUCAAUUUUAAGAAGGUGUCUAGC